rnacentral:rRNA from 1 species
UACGGAGGGUGCAAGCGUUAUCCGGAUUCACUGGGUUUAAAGGGUGCGUAGGAGGGCAGGUAAGUCAGUGGUGAAAUCUCCAAGCUUAACUUGGAACUGCCGUUGAUACUAUCUGUCUUGAAUACCGUGGAGGUGAGCGGAAUAUGUCAUGUAGCGGUGAAAUGCUUAGAUAUGAACAUAGAACACCAAUUGCGAAGGCAGCUCGCUACACGAAAUAUUGACUCUGAGGCACGAAAGCGUGGGGAUCAAACAGGA